GGGAGAGAGCAACAGGGAUUGCCUUAGUAACGGCGAGUGAAGCGGCAACAGCUCAAAUUUGAAAGCUGGCUCCUUCGGAGUCCGCAUUGUAAUUUGUAGAGGAUGAUUCGGCGAGGGCUCCCGCCUAAGUCCACUGGAACGUGGCGUCAUAGAGGGUGAGAAUCCCGUAUGUGGUGGGCUGCCUUAGCCAUGUGAAUCUCCUUCGACGAGUCGAGUUGUUUGGGAAUGCAGCUCUAAAUGGGAGGUAAAUUUCUUCUAAAGCUAAAUACCGGCCAGAGACCGAUAGCGCACAAGUAGAGUGAUCGAAAGAUGAAAAGCACUUUGGAAAGAGAGUUAAAAAGUACGUGAAAUUGUUGAAAGGGAAGGGCUUGCAACCAGACUUGUCCGCAGUUGCUCAGCCGGUCUCCUGACCGGCGUACUCUUCUGCGGCCAGGCCAGCAUCAGUUCGGGCGGUCGGAUAAAGACCUAGGGAAUGUAGCUCCUCUCGGGGAGUGUUAUAGCCCUGGGUGGAAUGCGGCCAGCCUGGACUGAGGAUCUCGCUUCGGCAAGGAUGCUGGCGUAAUGGUUGUAAGCCGCCCGUCUUGAAACACGGACCAAGGAGUCUAACAUCUAUGCGAGUGUUUGGGUGUCAAACCCAUACGCGUAAUGAAAGUGAACGGAGGUGGGAACCCGCAAGGGCGCACCAUCGGCCGAUCCUGAUGUCUUCGGAUGGAUUUGAGCAAGAGCAUAGCUGUUGGGACCCGAAAGAUGGUGAACUAUGCCUGAAUAGGGUGAAGCCAGAGGAAACUCUGGUGGAGGCUCGCAGCGGUUCUGACGUGCAAAUCGAUCGUCAAAUUUGGGUAUAGGGGCGAAAGACUAAUCGAACCAUCUAGUAGCUGGUUCCUGCCGGU
rnacentral:rRNA from 1 species